GGACCCUUCAAUCUGCAGGCUGACGCUCUAUCCACUGAGCCAAACCGGUUAGGGCUUCACUUGGCUUCUUGUAUGUUAUACUUUCCUGGUUUUCCUGCUACUCUUUUUCAAUCUCCUUUCCUUCAUGCCUCCACCUCUCCCUCUCCUCUAAAUACUCUUUUGCACCAGAGAUUAGCUCUUGCCCCUCUUCUCUUCUGUAUCUACACAAUCUAGCAGAUAUCAACCAGAAUCAUGGCUUUAAAUAUCUAUAUGUUCAUGACUCAUUUAUCUUUAGACCUAAUCUCUCUCCCUGAAUUCCAGACAUGUAUAUUCAACUACCUACCAGACCUCUCCACCCCAAUAUCUAAUAGAUAUGUUAAAUACAAUAUGCCCAAAAUGGGAAUCUUGACCUUUCUCUACCCUCUCCUCCCCAAAUAUGCUCCUCCCACAGGUUUCCCCAUCUUAGUGAAUGGUGUCACCAUUCUCCAGCUCUUCAGGUCCCAAGCAGAGCACUCAUCCUUGUACCCUUUCAUUGCACAGACAAAUUCAUCAGUCAACACAUCUCACUGCAGUGCAUGCCAAUGCUACAAAGAAGAAUAAACAGGGUGUGGGGAUAGAAUGUACCAGAAGGCAGGGAAGGUUGGAGGCAUUAUUUGUUAAUCAUGGUCAAGGAUAGACUCUGAGAAAGUGACAUUAAAGCAAAGAUUUUCCUGAAACAGAAAGGCACAAGCUCCUGCAGGAUCUGAGAAGAAAGCACUCGAGCCAAGGACAAAGCAAGUGCGCAGGUCAUGAGGUCAGGAACGUGGCAUGUCUGAGGAGGACAGCAAGUUUUGAGUGCCUGAGCAGACGGAAGAGUGACAACCAUCAACAGGGGCCAGACUAUGAAGGAUCUUGUCAGCCGGGGUUGGCCUGAUGCUUGUGUUUCAUUCUAAUUGUUAUGGGAAAGUAAUGGACAGUUUUCAGCAGGAGACGAUCAUGAUCUGAUAUAUGUUUUAUAGGUAAUGCUGGCUCCGUGGUGGAAAUGAAUUGUAAGAGACCAAGAGAAGAACAGUAAGAAUAUAACACAAAAAUGACCAUCUGUAAACUAAGAAGAGGUCCUUCACCAAGCACCCAUCAAUGCUGGCAUCCUAAUCUUGACCUUCCCAGCAUCCCAGCAUCCAGAACUGUGAGAAAUACAUGUCUAUGGCAUUUUUGUUAGAGCAGCCUGAGCUGACUAAGACAGGCUAGGGAGUAAAUCUUUUAGGCUUUGCUGCCAUAAGGUCUCUGUCACAACCACUGAAUCUGGCUGUUGCAGUGCUAAUUCAGUCACAGCCAAUCUGUAAAUUAGUGCACGUGUCUAUGUGCCAAGAACACUUAUUAACAGGCCCUGGGCUGGAUUUGGCUUGUGGGUCAUAGUUUGCAGACUUCUGUUCUAAACCCGAAAUGCUGACGGAUUGGCCUAGGCCUAUCAUAUGGGCAUAGUUUUAGAGGUUACUCUGGACAGUUACUCUUGCUGUUGAUGGAUUAAAUGUGGGAGCAAAUACACUUCUUUGAGAUUCACUUUUUAAUUAUUCCAGUGUGUCACACGGCUUCUACAGGCGUUUCUUUCUUUUUCUUUUUUUGUCAUUCCUCAGACGAUACUAACAUUUAUAUUUCUAUGAGAGUAAAAUAAGAUAGUUAUUCAUGGAAAAAGAAAUACUGAUCUCACUUAGUGGGAAAUAAGCUAAACUCUACCCAGAGGGCACUGAUUUUAUGUGGAAGCAAAAUAUUCUCCUCCAAACUAACCUCCUAACCCCAUGAUACUCAGCUCACUAAUGUGUGUGUGUGUGUGUGUGUGUGUGUGUGUGUGUGUGUGAGUAUGUUUGUGUGUGUGAUGAGUGUGUCCUCUCCAAUGGGGAGGAGUCUUUUACCACUGAAGUUGUUUAGAAUUGCCAGUACAAGAUGCCAAUAAAAAGACCAACCGUUCAUUGCUUUCUUGAUUGCUUUUACAUUCUCUACCUUCAAUUUACCAUGGUAUUGCCUGUGUCCAGGGCACACACACCCACCGCCCCACUCCCGUGGCACAUUAUUGUCCGAUUGGUCCCAAGGAAACAGUGAAGGCCCUGGGCUAAUCCUUCUGCAUGAAAACGAUGAGACACAGAUACUUUAGUCCUAACUCAACCAAACGUUUUAUGUGUGAUAUUGAGAACAACCUCCCAUGAAGAAAAAGAAAAAGGAG